rnacentral:rRNA from 1 species
CCUACGGGGGGCAGCAGUGAGGAAUAUUGGUCAAUGGGCGCGAGCCUGAACCAGCCAAGUCGCGUGAGGGAUGACGGUUCUAUGGAUCGUAAACCUCUUUUAUAAGGGCAUAAAGUGUGGGACGUGUCCUAUUUUGUAUGUACCUUAUGAAUAAGGAUCGGCUAACGCCGUGCCAGCAGCCGCGGUAAUAAGGAGGAUCCGAGCGUUAUCCGGAUUUAUUGGGUUUAAAGGGUGCGUAGGCGGCCUGUUAAGUCAGCGGUGAAAGUCCGUGGCUUAACCAGAGAAUUGCAGUUGAAACUGGGGGGCUUGAGUGUGUUAGAGGCAGGCGGAAUGCGUGGUGUAGCAGUGAAAUGCUUAGAUAUCGCGCAGAACCCCGAUUGCGAAGGCAGCCUGCCGGGCCAUAACUGACGCUGAUGCACGAAAGCGUGGGGAUCAAACAGGAUUAGAUACCCUGGUAGUC